UAAGGAAUAUUGGUCAAUGGAGGCAACUCUGAACCAGCCAUGCCGCGUGAAGGAUGAAGGUCCUCUGGAUUGUAAACUUCUUUUAUCUAUGAAGAAAUGUCUUGUUUCUACAGGAUUUGACGGUAAUAGAUGAAUAAGCACCGGCUAACUCCGUGCCAGCAGCCGCGGUAAUACGGAGGGUGCAAGCGUUAUCCGGAUUCACUGGGUUUAAAGGGUGCGUAGGUUGACCGGUAAGUCAGUGGUGAAAUACUCUCGCUUAACGAGAGAACUGCCGUUGAUACUAUCGGUCUUGAAUACGGUGGAGGCGGGCGGAAUGCGUCAUGUAGUGGUGAAAUACUUAGAUAUGACGCAGAACACCUAUUGCGAAGGCAGCUCGCUACGCCGUUAUUGACACUGAGGCACGAAAGCGUGGGGAUCAAACAGGAUUAGAUACCCCUGUAGUCC
rnacentral:rRNA from 1 species